rnacentral:rRNA from 1 species
GGCCGUUCUAGAUAGCAUGCAUGUCUAAGUAUAAAUAGUAUACAGUGAAACUGCGAAUGGCUCAUUAAAACAGUUAUAGUUUAUUUGAUAAUUGAAUUCUACAUGGAUAACCGUGGUAAAUCUAGAGCUAAUACAUGCUGCAAAACCUGACUUUUUGGAAAGGUUGUAUUUAUUAGAUAUCAAACCAAUAUUCCUUCGGGUCUAUUGUGAUGAUUCAUAAUAACUGAUCGAAGCGCGGCUAGGCCGUGCUAAAUCAUUCAAGUUUCUGCCCUAUCAGCUUUCGAUGGUAGUGUAUUGGACUACCAUGGCUAUCACGGGUAACGGAGAAUUAGGGUUCGAUUCCGGAGAGGGAGCCUGAGAAACGGCUACCACAUCUAAGGAAGGCAGCAGGCGCGUAAAUUACCCAAUCCUGAUUCAGGGAGGUAGUGACAAGAAAUAACAACUCGGGGGCUCACGCCUUACGAGAUUGCAAUGGGUACAAUUUAAACCGCUUAACGAGGAACAAUUGGAGGGCAAGUCUGGUCCCCCCGUGCCCCCGCCCCGCCCGGGGCGCGCCCCGGGCG